AUUUUCUUUAACUUGGAUUUAUUUUUGUGGCUAUAGUUUUCCUUGUACUUGAAGAAGCCCUAGGAAAUUAUUUGCUUAACUAGAGCAUUAAGUGUUUCUCAAAGGCUUUCUCUCUCUUUUUCUUUUUUUUUAAACUUCUUUCCCUUUGCUCUUGUUUUUCUUCUCUUUGUUUGGCUUUUGAGCAAAAACUUCCUACCCACUGUGAUAUUUUCCCCCUGAAUAGCUAAGUAGGCUAGAAAAACAGUAGUAGGAAACACAGCGGAUGGCCGGGCAUCAGGGUAAACAGAACAGCUGCUGGGAAGCUCCCAGAAGAAGCGGGUCAGCCUCUCUGGCCUUGGCUGCUGUGGCAGGCUGACCUUGAAGUUCCACAGAAGGUUCCCCCCCCCCCCCACCUCUGCAAGGCGCCACUUUUUUUUUUUUUUUUAAAGAUUUUAUUUAUUUAUUUGAAAGAGAGAGAGAGAGAGAGAGCACAAGCAGGGAGACAAGCAGAGGGACUAAGCAGACGUCCUGCUGAGCAGGGACCCCUUCCAUCCCCCCAACCGCCCUGUGGGACUCGAUCCCAGGACUUUGAAAUCAUGACCUGAACAGAAGGCAGAUGCUUAACCAACUGAGCCACCCAGGCACCCCAGAUCACGGGACUUUCUGCACAAUUACUGAUCUGAACUCAAAAUUACCACUGUCUGGAGAGACGGAGGAAAACCUGGGAUGCUUAGAUUAAAGGAGGUAAAAGAGAAGCGAUGAUUUGUGGGGCAAAGUGACUCGCACCUGUGUGUGAAAAGGACAAUCACAGACCGUCAAGAAUCUGUGGUUCCACUUUCCCGACCAGCUGAGUGAUUAACCCCCCACCGGCGCCUGGACCUGGCAGGAGACACGGGCCUCCUGGGUCAGUGACUAAGGAUGCAUAAUGACAUCUUGGGCCAUUUCUCAGGCCCGGGUUCCGACCGGGCCCCUCAAAGAAGGCCAAGUGACCCCUGCAUGCACAUGGUCUGUCAUUGCAACAGAGGAAGCCUGAGCGGAGGGAACCCAAGUGUUUUCUAAUGGGCACAAGCCUGCCUGAUCUGUUCCCCAGAGGGAGAUAUCUUUCUUAUUGCGGACUGUGAGCACACCUACCCUUUGCUCAGAAGGAAGACACUAUCCCCACUUUCUGAGGCUGUUUUCCAUACACACAUCCUUGAAAUGACAGCCCGGACAGGGAGCACAAAAGCCCCAUGAGGAAUUGUCUUCCCACAGCUCUGGAUUGAAAAAGAAAGCAGCUUUCAGGGGGCCUUAGUGGGAUAACUGGGGAGAAGGGGGUUGAUACAGAAUACAGGUCGUAGAAUAUCUUUGCCCCAGUGUUGAAUUCCUUUGGUGUGGUCACACUAUUGUUUCUGUGUAGGAGAUCGCUUUGUUCUCAAAGAUGUCACUUAAGGGGCGCCUGGGUGGCUCGGUGGGUUGAGCCUCUGCCUUCUGCUCCGGUCAUGAUCUCAGGGUCCUGGGAUCGAGCCCCGCAUCAGGCUCUCUGCUCAGUGGGGAGUCUGCUUCCGCCUCUCUCUGUCUACUUGAGAUCUCUCUCUCUCUCUCUGUCAAAUAAAUAAAUAAAAUAUUUUUUUAAAAAAGAUGUCACUUAAGUAUGGGGGCUGGAGGGUCACGAUGCCUGCCCCUCACUUUUCAAGGGAUCAGAGAAACAGACAACGCACAGGGAUCACGCAGACACACGUGCCCACGGGGGAGAGAGAGAGA
ensembl:lincRNA